rnacentral:lncRNA from 1 species
UCCUUUUGCACCAUCCUAUUCAUUUUGGUAAAUUUCUCUAGGGUUUUUCUUUAUAGUUUAAUGUGUGCAUACAUACUGUUUGGCAUCUUGCUCUCCCUCUCCCACUUAAAGCACACUGUCUCUACAACUGUCUUUAGAGGCCCUCAUGUCUCUUAUUAGAGUUGAGAAUUCCCCUGCUGUUGGCCACCUCGAGCAUCCUGUUCCAUCUUGGAUAACACUAUAGUUGAAGCCUUUUGCACAAAGCCCUUUUCAUACUUUAGAUCAUCAGAUUGGUUUCCAGUAGUAGGUCAUCCACUUCUAGGGACCUUAGUAUUUGGCCACUUCUGACAUUUAAGUCAUUUGGUAUUUCACUUGGUCAACACUGACAUUUAGUGCCUACUAGUCAUUUAAUAAAACCUUUUAAAAAUAAACCUGAACAACUAAAUGGCCUUCAAGAAAUACUGUGGGAAUAUUGCACCCUGUGUCUUGGUUACAUCAUCCCGUGAAAACAGAAAUUCAACAAACCUAAUUUUGUUGCUGCAAAACUUGAGUCAUUGCAAAGUGAGAAAAAAGGCAGAAAGAUUUACUGAUGACUCAGGGAUGAGGGGAAGCAAGGUGUAGGUAGAUGGGCUGUUUGGGAAUGAGGUACAUAUCUCCACUCCCGGGUCACAGAUACUUGUCCCAUGAGAUCAAAGCAAGAUACAGAAGUGGCAGCUCAAGAAUAAGCUCUGGUUUGCACUGGUUCGGAUCAACUCCAGAGACAAUGGACCAGGCCCUGCGCCAGGCCACCCACUGCUUUGUGAUCUCAGGAGGAUGCCCCUUGGUGGCGAAACUAACUCAUGUGCAGAAGCCAUGUGUUCACAAGUCUGGUGAACGGAGUUCGGAGUGCUGUGGCCUCAGCAUACCACCCUGGAGGAGGAUCAGACGGAAGGUACCUGAGGGAGUCAGCUUUCCCUUCAUACUUUAUGCUGCUGCUGCUAAGUCGCUUCAGUCGUGUCCGACUCUGCUCGACCUCAUAGACGGCAGCCCACCAGGCUCCCCAGUCCCUGGGAUAUUCCAGGCAAGAACACUGGAAUGGGUUGCCAUUUCCUUCUCCAAUGCAUGA